GUGCUCCCUUCGGUAGCACAUAUAUUAAAAAACUGGAAUGAUACAGAGAAGAUUAGCAUGGCCCCUGCACAAGUAUGACAUGCAAAUUCUUGAAGUGUUCCAUAUUUAA
rnacentral:snRNA from 1 species